UGGAAGUGUCUGCCUGUGGGCCAAGUAUCACAGGCUAAUUGGUCAAAUCCAUAAUUCCUCUUUUGGGAUUGAGAGAACAGACUGUGAGACUCUUCCAGGGUAAAAGGAGAAAGUAGAUGAGACUAGACACGGACGUGAGAGCAAAGCAGGAACGAUAAGGCAGAGAGAUGUAACUAAAGUUAUAUAAUCAAGAGCACGACUGCACAAAGGCAUCACAGCCUAGUGACUGUUUGUGAUCAUUUAAUAUUCAUCGCCUUAGUUAAGUUCUGGUCAUUGGUUAUGAUUUGUAGUGUUUAGCUGUUUCUGUUACCUCCUGUCAUCUCUACGUUCUUGUAUUUCCUGUUUUACUUUGACAGUCUGUAUUCUGUUGUUCUUCCUGCUGGCCUCCUCAUGUCUGAUUAGUCCCACCUGUUCCUCUCAUUGUGCUGCUUGAGUAUAUCUAGUGUGAGUUUCCCUCUGCUCCUGUCACUGAUCAUCCUCUGUGUUUCAUCUGCAUGUCUCCUGUUCAUUGUCCCCUGAGUAUCUCCCCCUGCGUUUCUUUUCCCGUGUUUCAGGUUUUUCUUGUUUAGUUUGUCCUGUUUAUGUUUUGUUCAUUUCCUUCCUGCCUUGUUUAGAUUCACAUUCAGCCAAAUAAAGGCUCACCUUUGGUUAAACAUUCACCUCAGCCCUGUGUGUCUGCAUUUGGGUCCGCUCUCUCUCCCCAUGGUCUGCCAGCUCAGACCGUGAUCGAAGGCAUCUGCAGAGGAUAGUGACACAUGCACAGAGAGACACAGCAUGAAUCCUGAUUGGCCGGGAGAAGGUGACCGGGUUAGAUAGCUUGACAGCUUGGAUUUAUCUGGCAUGUGUUUGAAUCCUGCUCUGAAUCAGUCUCAUUAGGUAAUGGCCUUCAAGUUACACACUAUGAAAGGCAGCAACAAGUUUAAUGUUCAGAAACCUAAAGUCUGUAUCAGCAGCAGGAUGGAGCUAAAAUAAAUGUUGGUUUCAGUUCUAUGAAGCUUUGAGUAUUUUGGAUCAGUAGCUGCUGUGUUUGUUGCAUCAUAUUGCUGUAACUGUUUAUAU
ensembl:lncRNA